rnacentral:tRNA from 1 species
UUCUCUGCAGUGUAGAUGGUUAGCAUGGUGGCUCGUCAAGUCAUCAACCUGGGUUCGAACCCCAGCAGGGAAG